UAGAGUUUGAUGCCUGGCUCACAAUCAACGCUGUGCGGCGCGCCUAACACAUGCGAGUCGAGCGAGAAAGUCCGCUUCGGUGGAUGAGUACAGCGGCGCACGGGUGAGUAACACGUGGGUAACCUGCCCUUCAGUGGGGGAUAACCCGGGGAAACCUGGGCUAAUACCGCAUAAUAUCCCGCCGACCUCGGUGGGCGGGAUCAAAGGAGCAAUUCGCUAGAGGAGGGGCCCGCGGCCGAUUAGCUUGUUGGCGGGGUGACGGCCCACCAAGGCAAAGAUCGGUAGCCGGUCUGAGAGGACGCACGGCCACACUGGGACUGAAACACGGCCCAGACUCCUACGGGAGGCAGCAGCGGGGAAUCUUGCACAAUGGGGGAAACCCUGAUGCAGCGACGCCGCGUGAGCGAAGAAGCCCUUCGGGGUGUAAAGCUCUUUCGGCGGGGACGAAUCUGACGGUACCCGCAAAAGAAGCCCCGGCUAACUACGUGCCAGCAGCCGCGGUAAUACGUAGGGGGCCAGCGUUGUUCGGAAUUACUGGGCGUAAAGGGCGCGUAGGCGGUGCGGCAGGUUCGGUGUGAAAUCUCCCGGCUCAACCGGGAGGGGUCGCCGAAAACGGUCGUGCUGGAGUACGGGAGAGGGGAGUGGAAUUCCCGGUGCAGCGGUGAAAUGCGUAGAUAUCGGGAGGAGCACCAGCGGCGAAGGCGGCUCCCUGGACCGUGACUGACGCUGAGGCGCGAAAGCUAGGGGAGCAAACAGGAUUAGAUACCCUGGUAGUCCUAGCCCUAAACGAUGCUCACUGGGCGUGGCGCGCCUUGCGCGCGCCGUGCCGAAGCUAACGCGUUAAGUGAGCCGCCUGGGGAGUACGGUCGCAAGGCUGAAACUCAAAGGAAUUGACGGGGGCCCGCACAAGCGGUGGAGCAUGUGGAUUAAUUCGACGCAACGCGAAGAACCUUACCUGGGCUCGAACGGCCGUGGACCGGGGUGGAAACACCCUUUUCCCGCAAGGGACUGCGGUCGAGGUGCUGCAUGGCUGUCGUCAGCUCGUGUCGUGAGAUGUUGGGUUAAGUCCCGCAACGAGCGCAACCCUUGUCCCUAGUUGCCAGCGUUAAGUCGGGCACUUUAGGGAGACUGCCGGCGACAAGCCGGAGGAAGGUGGGGAUGACGUCAAGUCCUCAUGGCCUUUAUGUCCAGGGCUACACACGUGCUACAAUGGACGGUACAGAGCGUCGCCAACCCGCGAGGGGGAGCCAAUCGUUUAAAGCCGUCCUUAGUUCGGAUUGCAGUCUGCAACUCGACUGCAUGAAGCUGGAAUCGCUAGUAAUGGCGCAUCAGCAGGGCGCCGUGAAUACGUUCUCGGGCCUUGUACACACCGCCCGUCACAUCACGAAAGUGGGCUGUACUAGAAGUCCUGAUCCCAACCGCAAGGAGGGUAAGGCCCUAAGGUAUGGUUCAUGAUUGGGGUGAAGUCGUAACAAGGUAACC
rnacentral:rRNA from 1 species